GUAGGUGGCAAGCGUUGUCCGGAAUUAUUGGGCGUAAAGCGCGCGCAGGCGGUUCUUUAAGUCUGAUGUGAAAGCCCACGGCUCAACCGUGGAGGGUCAUUGGAAACUGGAGAACAUGAGUACAGAAGAGGAAAGCGGAAUUCCACGUGUAGCGGUGAAAUGCGUAGAGAUGUGGAGGAACACCAGUGGCGAAGGCGGCUUUCUGGUCUGUAACUGACGCUGAGGCGCGAAAGCGUGGGGGGAGCAAACAGGAUUAGAUACCCUGGUAGUCCACGCCGUAAACGAUGAGUGCUAAGUGUUAGGGGGUUUCCGCCCCCCCCUUAGUGCUGCAGCUAACGCAUUAAGCACUCCGCCUGGGGAGUACGGCCGCAAGGCUG
rnacentral:rRNA from 1 species